UGGGUAUGGAAUAGACAAUGAAGCCGAGCCUGAUGCAGCAACGCCGCGUGAGGGAUGACGGCCUUCGGGUUGUAAACCUCUUUUAGCAGGGAAGAAGCGAAAGUGACGGUACCUGCAGAAAAAGCGCCGGCUAACUACGUGCCAGCAGCCGCGGUAAUACGUAGGGCGCAAGCGUUAUCCGGAAUUAUUGGGCGUAAAGAGCUCGUAGGCGGUUUGUCGCGUCUGCUGUGAAAUCCCGAGGCUCAACCUCGGGCCUGCAGUGGGUACGGGCAGACUAGAGUGCGGUAGGGGAGAUUGGAAUUCCUGGUGUAGCGGUGGAAUGCGCAGAUAUCAGGAGGAACACCGAUGGCGAAGGCAGAUCUCUGGGCCGUAACUGACGCUGAGGAGCGAAAGGGUGGGGAGCAAACAGGCUUAGAUACCCUGGUAGUCCACCCCGUAAACGUUGGGAACUAGUUGUGGGGACCAUUCCACGGUUUCCGUGACGCAGCUAACGCAUUAAGUUCCCCGCCUGGGGAGUACGGCCGCAAGGCUAAAACUCAAAGGAAUUGACGGGGACCCGCACAAGCGGCGGAGCAUGCGGAUUAAUUCGAUGCAACGCGAAGAACCUUACCAAGGCUUGACAUACACCAGAACGGGCCAGAAAUGGUCAACUCUUUGGACACUGGUGAACAGGUGGGUGCAUGGUUGUCGUCAGCUCGUGUCGUGAGAUGUUGGGUUAAGUCCCGCAACGAGCGCAACCCUCGUUCUAUGUUGCCAGCACGUAAUGGUGGGAACUCAUGGGGAUACUGCCGGGGGUCAACUCGGAGGAGGUGGGGGAUGACGUCAAAUCAUCAUGCCCCUUAUGUCUUGGGCUACACGCAUGCUACAAUGGGCCGGGUACAAA
rnacentral:rRNA from 1 species